rnacentral:tRNA from 1 species
GCCUGGGUGGCUCAGUCGGUUAAGUGUCUGACUUCGACUCAAGUCAUGAUCCCAUGGUUUGUGGGUUCCAACCCCGCAUCAGGCU